AAAAAAAGAAUAGGAUGACGAGACAUGUUGUUAAAGAGGAGUUUCUUUCAUAAAGUUUCUCCUCUCUAUUGGGUAUUGUAGUAAGGAUGUGUGCAGGGAGAAGAUUGCAUUUUUUGAUUGUUCAGUAUCGAUUUUGAACUAUUGGCACCAGUCCUACAUUCUAUUUCCAUGGAAACAGGAGAAAAGCGGCUUGGCGAAAAGAAGACUCCGUGGUGCUUUAGAACAUGCGGGUGCUUAUGGAGAGUAUAUAUCCAGGAGUCCAAGGCUGAAAAGGCAAGAAAGAGGACUCUUAUCUGAUCAGUUUGAGACGAGGCGUGCUAAGAAUAAAGCAACUCAGGAGAGAGAAACUAGCAAAGUAGGACGAACAUUUGACUAAGGUUGUUAUAGAUCAUUUGAAGGUGCAACUUCUCCAGAAAUUACAUCCACAAUAGAACUGUGCUGGCAAAUUCAUGUAGUGUGAAUAUAUUCAUGGAUGUAAUUUAGAGUAUGAGCAGAGUUCGACAUACUAAAUGUACGGAGCGUGAAAACGAAGUGUUGAA